rnacentral:rRNA from 1 species
CCCGCUGAACUUAAGCAUAUCAAUAAGCGGGAGGAA